rnacentral:rRNA from 1 species
AACGAACGCUGGCGGCAUGCCUAACACAUGCAAGUCGAACGAGACCUUCGGGUCUAGUGGCGCACGGGUGCGUAACGCGUGGGAACCUUCCCUUAGGUUCGGAAUAACUCCCCGAAAGGGGUGCUAAUACCGGAUAAUGUCUUCGGACCAAAGAUUUAUCGCCCUUGGAUGGGCCCGCGUUGGAUUAGCUAGUUGGUAGGGUAAAAGCCUACCACGGCGACGAUCCAUAGCUGGUCUGAGAGGAUGAUCAGCCACACUGGGACUGAGACACGGCCCAGACUCCUACGGGAGGCAGCAGUGGGGAAUAUUGGACAAUGGGCGAAAGCCUGAUCCAGCAAGGCCGCGUGAGUGAUGAAGUCCUUAGGGUUGUAAAGCUCUUUUACCCGGGAUGAUAAUGACAGUACCGGGAGAAUAAGCGCCGGCUAACUCCGUG